rnacentral:tRNA from 1 species
GUCCGAGUGCUGAAAUAGGUAGACAGGGUAAAUUUAAAUCUUACUGGUGCAAACCAUGAAAGUUCGAUUCUUUCCUCGGAUA